rnacentral:rRNA from 1 species
CAAUAGCGUAUAUUUAAGUUGUUGCAGUUAAAAAGCUCGUAGUUGGAUUUCGGGUGGGACGCAGCGGUCUCGCAUUGCGUUUGUACUGCUGCAGCCCUCCUUCUUGCCGGGGGCGGCCUCUCGGACUUCACUGUCUGGGGGUCAGAAUCGGCGAUGUUACUUUGAGUAAAUUAGAGUGUUCAAAGCAAGCUUACGCUCUGAAUAUAAUAGCAUGGGAUAACACGACAGGACUCUGGCCUAUCGUGUUGGUCUAUAGGACCAGAGUAAUGAUUAAGAGGGACAGUCGGGGGCAUUCGUAUUCCGUUGUCAGAGGUGAAAUUCUUGGAUUUACGGAAGACGAACAUCUGCGAAAGCAUUUGCCAAGAAUGUUUUCAUUGA